CAAAUCGAUUCACGUGUGUGUGCCCACCAAAAAAGUGUGAUUAUCCUUGGCGGAAAAUCACACCAGCGCACUGGCAGCUGCCACCGCCAAAGCUUGAUCUCUCGAGGUCGAAUAUGCUUGAGAAAAGUAUAAGGAAAUUAAUGGGCCAAGGCGACCUUUCUCUUUGCCAUGGGAGGGGUCGAUCGACAUCUAUAAAUAGCGGCCUUCGGCGCGCAGCAUCUGCAAACAAACAACACAACUCCUCCAAGCCCCAACUAGUUACAACCCAGCCACAUCGAUUCACGAUGGCGUCCUUGGCCAGAGCCGCCCGUUUGAUGGUGCUCCUGCAGAUCGCGCUGUUCGUCGUCGUCUCCGCGGUGAUCAUGAGCAGCUCCGUCUGCCACGGAGCCGGGAUCGGUCCUGGUGCUCUGGACCCUAGCCGCCGCCCCAUAUGCGGAGGCAGACCGUGCGGACAGCCUGGCCUGCCGUACGGCGGCCGUCCUCGGCCCUACCCUUACCGUCCGCAGCCCGGCCCCGGAGCCCCUCCGCCGUACAAUGGAGGGAUUGGACGACCGUGAUCAUAGCAGUACUGUACAAGUUGCUGCAACAACCUUACUGAACCGGGAGUGUAAUAUCCGGUCGUAGGAAUAACUCCCGUUUAUUACUGCGAAUAAAACUGCAAGUCUGGCUCCCAUAUAUUAAUGGGUGUGUGAACGUGAAAGUUCGGUUCCAAAUUACUAUCACUUCCUCUGUUCGCUUUUAUAAGUCGUUUCAGACAACUGAAAAUGAGCUACUUUGCACUCUGUCUAAAAUGUCCUCAAGACCUUAUAAAAAUGAACAGAGGAAGUAAUAAAGAUGAAUAGUCUAAGUGUAAGUGUAAGUGCAAGUGUUAUGUUUUGCAAUCUGGAUUCAGUCUACAAGGCUGCCUCGUGCUAUUUUACUCUAGGCAACAUGGUGGGCACAUGGCUGCAGCUGUACGCUCCCACUCGAUCCAAGUACCCUUCCUUGUGCUUAUACCACGCCCCAUCCAUGUCAUGUUUCCUUCCCCAAAUCCCUUGUCCAAAUAAUUUACAGUGUAAAAUAAAUUGGACGGUAAUUCUACUGCUUAAUAAGCGUAACAAGUUAUGUUUCUCUUUUAAGGGAAAUUAACAAGCUGGAUUGAAAUGCCAUGCUUAACUGACAAGAGCAUUGGAUAGGAUAGCACGAGCAGUUCAGCACCUAUACACCAUAGGAACUUGUGCCGUCAAACAAAAACCCAGAGAGAAGAGGGAGUACGACCAUUUCAAAUAAGCAAUUUAUCAAUUUUGAGAUGCUCUCUGCACGAGUGUCUCUGCCCGUACAACAUCAGGCGUGUCGUUUCCUAUAAUGCAUACUGCAUAAACAACCUUGAUCCCAUUGCACAUGGGAAUCCUAUAGGAAUAUGGGAGCUGAAACCGUUAUUCAACUGGUUAAGCUUGAGCGGUUACUCGACUGGUUUGUUCGUUGCAUGUUUGCAGGGAGGUACACUUUGGGUUUGCCUUGUCAUCUCAUUACCGGCGACAAGGAAGUAUGCAGUGUGCCUGGAACAAGAUAACAAAUGACAAUAUCUUAGCCGAGGCUGAUAUGCUGCCGAAUGUUGGAUGAAGAUCAAGUCUCCAAAGCUUGCUGCAUGUGGUGUAGCGAUCGCUCCGCAGCUUGGUGGGUAACUCGGAAUGGCUGAUGUAGUCCUAUCAAGGCAGGAUGUCCUGCGAGAAGCAGACAGAGCAGGAAGGCGCCACUGCUUUAGGGACCUCGGUCUCCAAUUCGGAUGGAGUGCUGUAAUUGCUAUGAAUCAUACUAGCACCCUUUGGCACUAAUAUAGCCCUCCUUGCGUCGUCAGCCUCUCCGCCAAUAAGUGGUGCGAGUUAUGGGUCCAGGUGCAGAUGUUCGACGGGCACAUGGUGCUCGAGCGCGGCUGGGAGUACUUCUGCCGCCGGCACAAGAUCGUCCCCGGUGGCCUGGGGCUGAAGGUGCGGAUUUUCAACACCAACGCCUCGAACAUCUGCAGGGUCCGGUGUUCCAAGAACAGUUGCAUCGAUGACAUCGCGCAUGCCAUGUAGUUUGUCUGUCAAGUCUGAAGUGAAGUAGUUUAGGACUGAACUUAAGUUUGAAUGCCUGUUUUGUUGUGAAUAUGUCCAUAUUUUCCCAGAGAGCAGCACCCUAGGGUCCAACAGGGGCAUGGGAUGCCCUGCUGUUUUAAACUUAUGCCUAUUAGUACUUAUGAUCUUCCUGUUCUAAUCUGAUCUGAUCAUAGUGUGUCCUACUGUGAACGUCGUUUUGCUUUGUUCUUGUUGCUCUUCUGCUGUUGUUGAUCAUAAUGUGUUGUGUGUGUUGUGUGCUGCAAAAUGGUUGGUAAGUCCACCACAUUUGAAAGAGUGAGCACACCAAGUACUUGCACACAACCAAACGGCCGUGCUUUGCAUCUGCUCACCCCUAAAGCACAAACACGGAC
rnacentral:rRNA from 1 species